GCAAGGUUAACCGAAUAGGGGAGCCGGAGGGAAACCGAGUCUUAAUUGGGCGUUAAGUUGCAGGGUAUAGACCCGAAACCCGGUGAUCUAGCCAUGGGCAGGUUGAAGGUUGGGUAACACUAACUGGAGGACCGAACCGACUAAUGUUGAAAAAUUAGCGGAUGACCUGUGGCUGGGGGUGAAAGGCCAAUCAAACCGGGAGAUAGCUGGUUCUCCCCGAAAGCUAUUUAGGUAGCGCCUCGUGAAUUCAUCUCCGGGGGUAGAGCACUGUUUCGGCUAGGGGGCCAUCCCGGCUUACCAACCCGAUGCAAACUGCGAAUACCGGAGAAUGUUAUCACGGGAGACACACGGCGGGUGCUAACGUCCGUCGUGAAGAGGGAAACAACCCAGACCGCCAGCUAAGGUCCCAAAGUCAUGGUUAAGUGGGAAACGAUGUGGGAAGGCCCAGACAGCCAGGAUGUUGGCUUAGAAGCAGCCAUCAUUUAAAGAAAGCGUAAUAGCUCACUGGUCGAGUCGGCCUGCGCGGAAGAUGUAACGGGGCUAAACCAUGCACCGAAGCUGCGGCAGCGACACUGUGUGUUGUUGGGUAGGGGAGCGUUCUGUAAGCCUGCGAAGGUGGCCUGUGAGGGUUGCUGGAGGUAUCAGAAGUGCGAAUGCUGACAUAAGUAACGAUAAAGCGGGUGAAAAGCCCGCUCGCCGGAAGACCAAGGGUUCCUGUCCAACGUUAAUCGGGGCAGGGUGAGUCGACCCCUAAGGCGAGGCCGAAAGGCGUAGUCGAUGGGAAACGGGUUAAUAUUCCCGUACUUGGUGUUACUGCGAAGGGGGGACGGAGAAGGCUAUGUUGGCCGGGCGACGGUUGUCCCGGUUUAAGCGUGUAGGUGUGUGUUCCAGGUAAAUCCGGUUCACUUUAACACUGAGGCGUGACGACGAGGCACUACGGUGCUGAAGCAACAAAUGCCCUGCUUCCAGGAAAAGCCUCUAAGCAUCAGGUAACAUCAAAUCGUACCCCAAACCGACACAGGUGGUCAGGUAGAGAAUACCAAGGCGCUUGAGAGAACUCGGGUGAAGGAACUAGGCAAAAUGGUGCCGUAACUUCGGGAGAAGGCACGCUGACACGUAGGUGAAGUGAUUUACUCAUGGAGCUGAAGUCAGUCGAAGAUACCAGCUGGCUGCAACUGUUUAUUAAAAACACAGCACUGUGCAAACACGAAAGUGGACGUAUACGGUGUGACGCCUGCCCGGUGCCGGAAGGUUAAUUGAUGGGGUCAGCGCAAGCGAAGCUCCUGAUCGAAGCCCCGGUAAACGGCGGCCGUAACUAUAACGGUCCUAAGGUAGCGAAAUUCCUUGUCGGGUAAGUUCCGACCUGCACGAAUGGCGUAAUGAUGGCCAGGCUGUCUCCACCCGAGACUCAGUGAAAUUGAACUCGCUGUGAAGAUGCAGUGUACCCGCGGCAAGACGGAAAGACCCCGUGAACCUUUACUAUAGCUUGACACUGAACAUUGAGCCUUGAUGUGUAGGAUAGGUGGGAGGCUUUGAAGUGUGGACGCCAGUCUGCAUGGAGCCGACCUUGAAAUACCACCCUUUAAUGUUUGAUGUUCUAACGUGGACCCGUUACCCGGGUUGCGGACAGUGUCUGGUGGGUAGUUUGACUGGGGCGGUCUCCUCCUAAAGAGUAACGGAGGAGCACGAAGGUUGGCUAAUCCUGGUCGGACAUCAGGAGGUUAGUGCAAUGGCAUAAGCCAGCUUGACUGCGAGCGUGACGGCGCGAGCAGGUGCGAAAGCAGGUCAUAGUGAUCCGGUGGUUCUGAAUGGAAGGGCCAUCGCUCAACGGAUAAAAGGUACUCCGGGGAUAACAGGCUGAUACCGCCCAAGAGUUCAUAUCGACGGCGGUGUUUGGCACCUCGAUGUCGGCUCAUCACAUCCUGGGGCUGAAGUAGGUCCCAAGGGUAUGGCUGUUCGCCAUUUAAAGUGGUACGCGAGCUGGGUUUAGAACGUCGUGAGACAGUUCGGUCCCUAUCUGCCGUGGGCGCUGGAGAACUGAGGGGGGCUGCUCCUAGUACGAGAGGACCGGAGUGGACGCAUCACUGGUGUUCGGGUUGUCAUGCCAAUGGCACUGCCCGGUAGCUAAAUGCGGAAGAGAUAAGUGCUGAAAGCAUCUAAGCACGAAACUUGCCCCGAG
rnacentral:rRNA from 2 species